rnacentral:rRNA from 1 species
UACGGGGGGAGCAAGCGUUGUUCGGAUUUACUGGGCGUAAAGGGCGCGUAGGCGGCCUCUGCAAGUCGACUGUGAAAUCUCCGGGCUUAACCCGGAAAGGUCAGCCGAUACUGCAGGGCUAGAGUGCAGAAGGGGCAACUGGAAUUCCCGGUGUAGCGGUGAAAUGCGUAGAUAUCGAGAGGAACACCUGCGGCGAAGGCGGGUUGCUGGGCUGACACUGACGCUGAAGUGCGAAAGCUAGGGGAGCGAACGGG